rnacentral:rRNA from 1 species
AUUGAACGCUGGCGGCAGGCCUAACACAUGCAAGUCGAGCGGUAGCACAGAGAGCUUGCUCUCGGGUGACGAGCGGCGGACGGGUGAGUAAUGUCUGGGAAACUGCCUGAUGGAGGGGGAUAACUACUGGAAACGGUAGCUGAUACCGCAUAACGUCGCAAGACCAAAGUGGGGGACCUUCGGGCCUCAUGCCAUCAGAUGUGCCCAGAUGGGAUUAGCUUGUAGGUGAGGUAACGGCUCACCUAGGCGACGAUCCCUAGCUGGUCUGAGAGGAUGACCAGCCACACUGGAACUGAGACACGGUCCAGACUCCUACGGGAGGCAGCAGUGGGGAAUAUUGCACAAUGGGCGCAAGCCUGAUGCAGCCAUGCCGCGUGUAUGAAGAAGGCCUUCGGGUUGUAAAGUACUUUCAGCGAGGAGGAAGGCGACAAGGUUAAUAACCUUGUCGAUUGACGUUACUCGCAGAAGAAGCACCGGCUAACUCCGUGCCAGCCGCCGCGGUAA